ensembl:lncRNA
UUUUAUAAACCGGUGUUAACCGGUAUAAACCAUUUGAGAAACAUUCUCGGCGAGAUGGCAGCAAGCGGGAAGGCACCGAGCCACAAAUUGACACGGGAGGUGGCGGAUCCAAUAAAAAAGGUUCCGGAACCAACGUCAGAGGUGGCGGAUGAUGUUCCGGCUCAAAUAAAGCCCUGGAUGCAGCACUGGUCAACACCUUGUUUGGUAGCAAAGACAUGAUUUAAAGAACCUGGUAUGUUGACGAGUGGAAUGGGCUGAAUAAAUAUGCAGCCCUCUCUGAGAGUUGAGGGCGGCGGCCUUGCAGCGGGCGAAGGAGAGCCAAGGAGUGGCAGGUUGAUGCAACCAAAGACGCUACAAAGGAAAGUAACUAAUAUGGUGGGCAGUGGCUGGAUUAGGGUUAGAUAGCGUUGUAAAUCUCUCCAGGGGAUCCCGUUAUCAAAGCAAAAGCGAGAAGAAGGAAUUCACUGCACAUCCCAGUCCUUCAUUACCACCUCAAAGACGCACACUUGCUGAAAAGCAGUCCUUUUGUCUCAGACAUUAAAGAUUAAUAACAGCAGAACGGAAAGAAGCAUAUUAAAAAAAAACUAAGUUUGCCAAAAAGGUUAUUCUAAAAUAAGUGAUUUGAUCAAACAAACAACACAAAUAGAUAACCACCGUCCACGGGCUGCCAGGCCCCAGAACUGUGCUCCAGAACCAGCCCUCCUGGGCAACUAUGGGACAAAGACACCGGGUCAGCCUAGAGCAGCCCAGGCACGCGACCAAACCCAAACCAUCGCUCUGGCGCAAAACCAUGAAACCCACCCAGACUCCCUGGCCCCACCUGACACCAUCAGCUCUGUGGCCCCCGCCCAGCCAGCGGUUCCAGAACAUCUGCC